CACGUAGGGGGCAAGCGUUGUCCGGGUUUAUUGGGCGUAAAGAGCUCGUAGGCGGCUUAGUAAGUCGGGUGUGAAACCUCCAGGCUCAACCUGGAGACGCCACCCGAUACUGCUGUGGCUAGAGUCCGGUAGGGGAGCGUGGAAUUCCUGGUGUAGCGGUGAAAUGCGCAGAUAUCAGGAGGAACACCGGUGGCGAAGGCGGAUCUCUGGGCCAUUACUGACGCUGAGGAGCGAAAAGCGGUGGGGAGCGAACAGG
rnacentral:rRNA from 1 species